rnacentral:lncRNA from 1 species
AGUUAGAAAAAGCCCGGGCUAGGACCGAGGAGCAGGGUGAGGGAGGGGGUGGGAUGGGUGGGGGGUAACGGGGGAAACUGGGGAAGUGGGGAACCGAGGGGCAACCAGGGGAAGAUGGGGUGCUGGAGGAGAGCUUGUGGGAGCCAAGGAGCACCUUGGACAUCUGGAGUCUGGCAGGAGUGAUGACGGGUGGAGGGGCUAGCUCGAGGCAGGGCUGGUGGGGCCUGAGGCCAGUGAGGAGUGUGGAGUAGGCGCCCAGGCAUCGUGCAGACAGGGCGACAUCAGCUGGGGACGAUGGGCCUGAGCUAGGGCUGGAAAGAAGGGGGAGCCAGGCAUUCAUCCCGGUCACUUUUGGUUACAGGACGUGGCAGCUGGUUGGACGAGGGGAGCUGGUGGGCAGGGUUUGAUCCCAGGGCCUGGGCAACGGAGGUGUAGCUGGCAGCAGCGGGCAGGUGAGGACCCCAUCUGCCGGGCAGGUGAGUCCCUUCCCUCCCCAGGCCUCGCUUCCCCAGCCUUCUGAAAGAAGGAGGUUUAGGGGAUCGAGGGCUGGCGGGGAGAAGCAGACACCCUCCCAGCAGAGGGGCAGGAUGGGGGCAGGAGAGUUAGCAAAGGUGACAUCUUCUCGGGGGGAGCCGAGACUGCGCAAGGCUGGGGGGUUAUGGGCCCGUUCCAGGCAGAAAGAGCAAGAGGGCAGGGAGGGAGCACAGGGGUGGCCAGCGUAGGGUCCAGCACGUGGGGUGGUACCCCAGGCCUGGGUCAGACAGGGACAUGGCAGGGGACACAGGACAGAGGGGUCCCCAGCUGCCACCUCACCCACCGCAAUUCAUUUAGUAGCAGGCACAGGGGCAGCUCCGGCACGGCUUUCUCAGGCCUAUGCCGGAGCCUCGAGGGCUGGAGAGCGGGAAGACAGGCAGUGCUCGGGGAGUUGCAGCAGGACGUCACCAGGAGGGCGAAGCGGCCACGGGAGGGGGGCCCCGGGACAUUGCGCAGCAAGGAGGCUGCAGGGGCUCGGCCUGCGGGCGCCGGUCCCACGAGGCACUGCGGCCCAGGGUCUGGUGCGGAGAGGGCCCACAGUGGACUUGGUGACGCUGUAUGCCCUCACCGCUCAGCCCCUGGGGCUGGCUUGGCAGACAGUACAGCAUCCAGGGGAGUCAAGGGCAUGGGGCGAGACCAGACUAGGCGAGGCGGGCGGGGCGGAGUGAAUGAGCUCUCAGGAGGGAGGAUGGUGCAGGCAGGGGUGAGGAGCGCAGCGGGCGGCGAGCGGGAGGCACUGGCCUCCAGAGCCCGUGGCCAAGGCGGGCCUCGCGGGCGGCGACGGAGCCGGGAUCGGUGCCUCAGCGUUCGGGCUGGAGACGAGGCCAGGUCUCCAGCUGGGGUGGACGUGCCCACCAGCUGCCGAAGGCCAAGACGCCAGGUCCGGUGGACGUGACAAGCAGGACAUGACAUGGUCCGGUGUGACGGCGAGGACAGAGGAGGCGCGUCCGGCCUUCCUGAACACCUUAGGCUGGUGGGGCUGCGGCAAGAAGCGGGUCUGUUUCUUUACUUCCUCCACGGAGUCGGCACACUAUGGCUGCCCUCUGGGCUCCCAGAACCCACAACAUGAAAGAAAUGGUGCUACCCAGCUCAAGCCUGGGCCUUUGAAUCCGGACACAAAACCCUCUAGCUUGGAAAUGAAUAUGCUGCACUUUACAACCACUGCACUACCUGACUCAGGAAUCGGCUCUGGAAGCUAGAGGAACCAGACCUCAUCAGCCCAACAUCAAAGACACCAUCGGAACAGCAGCGCCCGCAGCACCCACCCCGCACCGGCGACUCCAUCUUCAUGGCCACCCCCUGCGGCGGACGGUUGACCACCAGCCACCACAUCAUCCCAGAGCUGAGCUCCUCCAGCGGGAUGACGCCGUCCCCACCACCUCCCUCUUCUUCUUUUUCAUCCUUCUGUCUCUUUGUUUCUGAGCUUUCCUGUCUUUCCUUUUUUCUGAGAGAUUCAAAGCCUCCACGACUCUGUUUCCCCCGUCCCUUCUGAAUUUAAUUUGCACUAAGUCAUUUGCACUGGUUGGAGUUGUGGAGACGGCCUUGAGUCUCAGUACGAGUGUGCGUGAGUGUGAGCCACCUUGGCAAGUGCCUGUGCAGGGCCCGGCCGCCCUCCAUCUGGGCCGGGUGACUGGGCGCCGGCUGUGUGCCCGAGGCCUCACCCUGCCCUCGCCUAGUCUGGAAGCUCCGACCGACAUCACGGAGCAGCCUUCAAGCAUUCCAUUACGCCCCAUCUCGCUCUGUGCCCCUCCCCACCAGGGCUUCAGCAGGAGCCCUGGACUCAUCAUCAAUAAACACUGUUACAGCAA